GAUGAAGAACGCAGCGAAAUGCGAUAAGUAAUGUGAAUUGCAGAAUUCAGUGAAUCAUCGAAUCUUUGAACGCACAUUGCGCCCGCCAGUAUUCUGGCGGGCAUGCCUGUUCGAGCGUCAUUACAACCCUCAGGCCCCCGGGCCUGGCGUUGGGGAUCGGCGGAGCCCCCCGUGGGCACACGCCGUCCCCCAAAUGCAGUGGCGGUCCCGCCGCAGCUUCCAUCGCGUAGUAGCUAACACCUCGCGACUGGAGAGCGGCGCGGCCACGCCGUAAAACACCCAACUCUUAUGAAGUUGACCUCGAAUCAGGUAGGAAUACCCGCUGAACUUAAGCAUAUCAAUAAGCGGAGGA
rnacentral:misc_RNA from 1 species